rnacentral:lncRNA from 1 species
UCGUCAAAGCCUCCAAAAUAUUUACAUGGUUCUUCAAGGCAUACCCCGGAUAUAAUAUUUACAAAAUUCACGGGGCAUUCCCCGAAUAAAUUUAACUAAGGGACAACCUUUCACCUCAAAAUCAACAAAAUCCUAAAACUUGCCUACCCAAAUGUGGUCAGCCUAAGCAUGCUCCUAGCGAUCAAUAUGAAAAUAAGGAGAAUUAAAUAAAAGGGAACUUCAAUUCAUGGUCGUUUCCAUUUUUAAUAGUGAACUCCCAAGUCCCCUUAUCAUUCUAUCCAAAUAAACAUAUGCACAGUGGCAAACACUAACCAAUUAGGCUAAAUCACAAGACCGAAUUGUGAACAUGGAAACACAUGUAAAAACGGAAUAUAAACACCUUAGAGGGAACUAUCCAGAAGGUGUGGGCUAAUGGACUAACUAGUAAAUAAAUGACAAAUAAAGAUAAAACAAAUGAAUGCCACGAUCAGGACUGGAAAAUACGAAAAACACCUUGCAAUAUCAUUUCAUCUUUCUCAAGCUGCUCCUCUCAACCCAAACAGGCACAGGUAUAGACCUCUUUUGUGGUUUAAAUUCAAAAGAAACAAGUCAAUCACCCUCUCAGUGUCUAUCCCUCAUAUGCUUAACGUGGAAGACACAUGAGAAAUCGACAAUGACACUAUUCACAUUUCAUGUAAGUAAGACAUUAGAUAGGAAACUCAAGGCAAACAAGGACACCUACCGGAAUGGCACGAGAACAGAAUGAAAUCAUCAAGAAACAAAGCCCGUUCACGUUGAGGCGCGACAAAUGAGUUGAAUAUGCAAACAUAAACCACUCCAAACCUAUGAGUAGCUAAACUUAAUUAGCCAGAAGAAAUCGAUUGCAAGCUAAUCUUAAUGAAACUAAGGCCUAGCAACUACAAGGACUAGCAUGUUGAAGACAAAAUCAACUCGACUUCAAUUGCAAAUCAGUAAUUAUACUUCACCAAACUUCCAUUUUAUCCUUGAACUUAAACAAGAAUUGUUAACUGGUUUUGGAUUUUCUGAUAGGAUUAAAUCAAGAAAAGAAGGUCACUAUAUGUGAUUAUCAGUCAGUCGUGGAGGAGAAACAUGGAAGGGAAUUAUGCAGAUUCAAAUCAAAUUAUAAAAUUGGAGAGAUCAAGAAAGAGAGGUGAAUCAAGCAUCACGAACUACUGGGAUUAACUCUAUUCAAAUUAAUAAGGGUUUGUAAUAGUUUUGUGAAAAUAUAAGUCAAACUAACCAAGCCAUUAGUAGAAUAAACACAUCAGAUCAAUGAACAAUUCCAAAAGCUCAUUUCAUAUUUAAACCUGACAAAAUAAGAAGGCAUGGAAGUGAUUCCACUUGAGCCUAAGAGGCAUACAGAUUCAUCAAGUUAUCACUAAGCGAUCAAGGCACUUUGGCAUGAAACUUUGCAUUCAUCAAAGAAGUCAGUCGAAAGAACUCUAACAGUAACACAACAUAUCUCGCCAAACUCAAACUAUCACUCAACCGGAUCAAACUUCAAUCAACCACACUAGAACUAGGCAGAAUCGAAGUUGCGAGACAUUUAAAUACCAAAAACCAAACAGAACACGUGAUGGUGUAACUUAAUCCAGACUUAAUACUAUCCGAAAGUCACAAAAUUGUCUCUGCUAAUGCCCAGAUGCGAUUAUUUAUCUUCUAAAACAUGUCAAGCAAAUUCAAACUACUAAGUCCACUUUAUAAUAUUUCGAAUCAUCAUCAAGAGAGUAAGAAAACAAAGACGAAAUUGGAAGUUAAGCUUUCAUUUAAUUCUGUAGAGAUCGAUUACAAGAGAAGAAGAUUUGGUGACGAACUUGACAACGAAAAUAGCUACUGAAAAUCCAGAGUCAACAACGAAGCAGCAGAGCAGAAACCAACACAGGGAACGUGGACACGAACCGAAAAAUUCGAACGGCGAGCUCGACCUCGGAUCAAUCAAUCUCCAAGUUGAAACUAAAACCAAAAGAAGCAACUAAAAUAUUUUUGGGAAUUUUCUGAGCUUUUAUUUUGAAAAUGAAACCAAGACUUGAACAAAGGGUAAAUCAAACUUUCUUUUCUUUCUUUUCGUAUUUUCACUUUUCUGGAAUGCUCAUUACAAAGGAAACCGAGGAAUCUAAGAAGAAGGCCAAGGAAAACCAAGAGCCCCAGCUUUUUCCGAAAUUUUCCUCCUCCUCCUUCUCCUCCUUUUUUUCCAAAAAAAAACCCGUCCCCCCUAUGUAUAUGAACAUAUAUAUAUAUAUAUAUAUAUAUAUAU